UACGUAGGGUGCGAGCGUUGUCCGGAAUUAUUGGGCGUAAAGAGCUCGUAGGCGGUUUGUCGCGUCUGCCGUGAAAGUCCGGGGCUCAACUCCGGAUCUGCGGUGGGUACGGGCAGACUAGAGUGAUGUAGGGGAGACUGGAAUUCCAGGUGUAGCGGUGAAAUGCGUAGAUAUCUGGAGGAACACCGGUGGCGAAGGCGGCGUCCUGGACCAACACUGACACUGAUGAGCGAAAGCCAGGGGAGCAAACGGG
rnacentral:rRNA from 1 species